rnacentral:misc_RNA from 1 species
UCCACCCAGUUGACAGCUUCGAUCAG